UUAACGUCAACCCAAAACUAUUUUGAACAGCAUGGCACCUCAUUCAUACAUGUUGCUUCAUCAAUAACAAUCGCAACCCGAAAUUGAGAUUUGAUAGGCCACUCACUGGAAGAAGGAUAUUCUUGUCAAAUACAUUAAUCACAGCAACGUGAUGUAUGCUCUUUUCGCUCAGAAUUCCGUGUACAAAAUCUUUUUAAGCAAUACGAUGUUUGAACUUUGUAACCCAUGGACUUGACUUACUAACGUUCAACAAGGGCGUACACCCCUGUUGUUUAUCUGGUGCACACGUGUGGCCACCAUAGACAUUGUAACCAUCAUCACGCGCUACACGGUAGAGUUUCAAGAGGAUGUCUGAAUGCUCCCACUUCUACUCUUGGGAUUACUACUGAUAUUGUGGCUAUUCUGGAUGAUUAAGGUCAAGCAGAUGCUGGAGAAAGGGGGGGAAAUAGUGACUGGCUGUGGAACCCCUGCAGCUGCAGCACAGGAGGAGAUGCAAGCGGCCGAUAGAUCCGCUGCGGCUGCACACACCCCUGCUCCACCCCCUACUAAACAAUCCACACCCAUGGGUCUUGCAGCAUCUACCUCAACAGAUAGCGGGGACAACCGUCCCCUAACCCACAUUGACCCCACUGUCGGUCCCAUGAUACCCAGGGCAGGGGAUUCCCAGGCUCCUCAGGCCUCUUCGGAGGAAAUGAAGCACACACAGCCGUCCCUUCCCUUCGUUGUCCCUCAGCCUCCCAGUAGAACGAUCAGGCCCAAACUCAUCUCAGGCCUAGAAGCUCAACAAGCGCGCCCCAAGUUCAUUCUGGGGGCAUCGGAGGACAAUUCUUCAGAUGAAGAUCUGCCUUUGAUCAUGGAACCCCCUACAGGUUUUGGUUCCUCUCAGGCAGUGGCCACCUCCUGCCUACGACAAACCGUAUCAGCAACCUCAACCACCUUCUCCCCCCCACAGCAAGUUACAUCAGUAACAUCAACCCCUACCUCCAAUGGCAUGAGGCCUAGCAUGUCUCACCCACAUCUGGUGAGGAAGGGUCGCGAGCACCGAAAAAUUGAGCUGCAAAGAGACUUCACCGUGGCCUCGCCGGCGGAGUUUGUCACCCGCUUCGGAGGAAACCGUGUGAUAGAUAAGGUGCUGAUAGCUAAUAAUGGCAUAGCGGCGGUCAAAUGUAUGCGUUCCAUCCGCCGUUGGUCCUACGAGAUGUUCCGGAAUGAGAAGACCAUCCGUUUUGUAGUGAUGGUCACCCCUGAGGACCUGAAAGCGAACGCAGAGUAUAUCAAAAUGGCGGACCACUAUGUACCCGUACCCGGCGGCGCCAACAACAACAACUAUGCCAACGUAGAGUUGAUAGUGGACAUCGCCAAGAGGAUCCCUGUACAGGCGGUCUGGGUUGGAUGGGGUCACGCCUCUGAGAACCCCAAACUGCCUGAGCUUUUGGACAAGAACGGAAUCUCCUUCUUAGGGCCAUCCAGUAAGGCCAUGUGGGCCCUGGGUGAUAAGGUGGCCUCCUCCAUCGUGGCCCAGAGCGCAGACAUCCCCACCCUGCCCUGGAGUGGAUCAGGUCUGAGAGUAGACUGGACAGUGGAGGACCAGAGGCUCGGCCACGUGAUCAGCGUGCCUCCAGAGGUCUAUGUGCACGGCUGCGUGCGUGAUGUUGGCGUUGGACUUGCGGGAGCAGACAAAAUUGGCUACCCGGUGGUGAUAAAAGCGUCAGAAGGAGGAGGGGGUAAGGGCAUCCGGAAGGUGGACAACGCUGAGGACUUUCCCAGCUUCUUUAGACAGGUGCAGUCGGAGGUGCCCGGCUCGCCCAUCUUCGUCAUGCAGUUGGCCCAGCAUGCCCGUCACCUGGAGGUUCAGAUCCUUGCCGACCAGUAUGGCAACGCCAUCUCCCUGUUUGGCCGAGACUGCUCCAUCCAGCGGAGACACCAGAAGAUCAUUGAGGAGGCCCCAGCCACCAUAGCAUCUUCCACCACCUUUGAGCACAUGGAGCAGUAUGCAGUGCGGAUGGCUAAGAUGGUGGGCUACGUGAGCGCAGGCACUGUGGAGUACCUCUUCUCUGAAGACGGGAGCUUCCACUUCUUAGAGCUCAACCCCCGUCUGCAGGUGGAACACCCCUGCACAGAGAUGAUUGGGGAUGUCAACCUGCCCGCCGCCCAGCUACAGAUAGCCAUGGGGAUCCCUCUCCACAGGAUCAAAGACAUCCGCAUGCUUUAUGGAGAGGCCCCCUGGGGGGACACCACCAUCAACUUUGAGGCCCCCGACUGUGUACCCAGUCCCCGGGGACACGUCAUCGCGGCCCGCAUCACCAGCGAGAACCCAGACGAGGGCUUCAAGCCCAGCUCGGGCACAGUGCAGGAGCUCAACUUCCGCAGCAGUAAGAACGUGUGGGGCUACUUCAGUGUCGGGGCUACCGGGGGGUUGCACGAGUUUGCUGACUCCCAGUUCGGCCACUGCUUCUCCUGGGGGGAGAACCGAGAGGAGGCCAUUUCGAACAUGGUGGUGGCCAUGAAGGAGCUGUGUAUCCGGGGGGACUUCAGGACCACGGUGGAGUACCUCAUCAAGCUGCUGGAGACAGAGAGCUUCAGGAACAACGACAUCGACACCGGCUGGUUGGAUAAUCUCAUCGCAGAUAAAGUUCAGGCGGAGAGGCCAGACACCAUGCUGGGCAUCGUCUGCGGGUCGUUACACGUAGCGGACACUAGUUUCAGGAAGAGCAUGUCCGACUUCCUGCACUCACUGGAAAGGGGCCAGGUGCUGCCUGCAGCCAGUUUGCUCAAUACUGUCGAGGUGGACCUGGUCUAUGAGGGGAUCAAAUACUGCCUCAAGGUGGCUCGCCAGUCCCCCACCACGUACGUUGUCAUCAUGAAUGGCUCGGACAUUGAGAUCGAUGUCCACCGGCUGAGUGACGGCGGCCUCUUGCUCUCCUACAACGGCAGCAGCUACACCACAUACAUGAAGGAGGAAGUGGCCAGCUACCGGAUCACUGUUGGCAACAAGACGUGUGUGUUUGAGAAGGAGAAAGACCCUACAGUGCUGAGGUCGUCCUCUGCUGGUAAGCUCCUGCUGUACCUGGUGGAGGACGGAGGCCAUAUCUGUGCAGGGAACUCGUAUGCAGAGAUCGAGGUCAUGAAGAUGGUGAUGAGAAUUACAGUGGUGGAGUCUGGCUGUGUCCACUAUGUGAAGAGGCAUGGGGCGGUGCUGGAGCCUGGCUGUGUGGUGGCACGCAUGGACCUGGACAACCCCAGCAGCAUCCAUCCAGUGGAGCUGAACACGGCCUCUCUCCCAGCCCAGCAGCUGCUGCCCAUCGUGGGGGAGAAGCUCCACCAGGUCUUCCACAUGGUCCUUGAGAACCUGGUCAAGGUCAUGGAUGGCUACUGCCUCACCGAGCCCUACUUCAGCAACAAGGUGAAGCUCUGGGUGGGCUCCCUGAUGAAGACCCUGCGGGACCCCUCGCUUCCCCUGCUGGAGCUGCAGGAGAUCAUGACCAGCGUGUCCAGCCGUAUCCCGCCCGGUGUGGAGAAGGCCAUCCGCAAAGUCAUGGCCCAGUACGCCAGCAACAUCACCUCGGUGCUCUGCCAGUUCCCCAGCCAAAGGAUUGCCUGUAUCCUGGACAGCCAUGUGGCCACCUUACAGAGGAAGGCUGACCGGGAAGUGUUCUUCAUGAACACUCAGAGUAUCGUCCAGCUGGUGCAGAGGUACCGCAGUGGAAUCCGAGGUUACAUGAAGUCUGUGGUGCUUGAUCUGCUCAACCGUUACCUUCAGGUUGAAAUGCAGUUCCAGCAAGCUCACUACGACAAGUGUGUGAUCAACCUGAGGGAGCAGUACAAGCCUGACAUGACCCCUGUGCUGGAGAGCAUCUUUUCUCACGCCCAAGUAUCCAAAAAGAACAUCCUGGUCACUAUGCUUAUUGAUCAGCUGUGUGGCCGGGACCCCACCGUAACAGACGAGCUGAUGGCCAUCCUGAACGAGCUCACACAGCUCAACAAGAUGGAGAACUCAAAGGUGGCUCUGCGUGCCAGACAGGUUUUGAUAGCUUCCCAUCUGCCCUCUUAUGAACUGAGGCACAACCAGGUGGAGUCCAUCUUUCUGUCUGCCAUUGACAUAUAUGGGCACCAGUUCUGCCCAGAGAACCUGAAGAAACUCAUCCUGUCUGAGACCACCAUCUUCGAUGUUUUGCCCAAUUUCUUCUACCAUUCUAACCGGGUGGUGUGCAUGGCUGCCUUGGAGGUAUACGUACGCAGGGGCUACAUUGCUUAUGAGCUGAACAGCCUCCAGCAUCGCCAGUUGCAGGACGGGACGUGUGCUGUAGACUUCCAGUUCAUGUUGCCGUCGUCCCACCCCAACAGAGGGAGCAGCCCUACUCUGAACAGGGUGGCGAUGCCGGUGAACAGCACAGGGCAGUUUGAGAUGAGGCGGCAGGGUAGCGAGCUCUUCCUAGAAGGGGCACUCUCUCCCCCCUGUCAGCGCAUGGGGGCCAUGGUGGCCUUCCAAUGUUUUGAAGACUUCAAAAGGAACUUUGACGAGGUCAUCUCCAGCUUUGCUGACCCGCUCCUGGAGAGCCCGUUGUUCUCCGAGGCCUGCCCCAGCCUCUACGAGGAGGACAACUGCAAGAACAUGAGGGAGAACCCCAUCCAUAUCAUCAAUGUGUCCAUCAAGUCGGCAGACACAGAGAAUGACGAUGCCUUGGUCACAGCCUUCGCUGCCUUCGCCCAGUCUAAGAAAAUUUUACUCUUUGAGCACGGCAUUCGAAGGAUCACGUUUUUAGUCGCACAGAGGAGGGAAUUUCCCAAGUUCUUCACUUUCAGAGCCAGAGACGGGUUCCAGGAGGACCGUAUCUACAGGAACCUGGAGCCUGCUCUGGCCUUCCAGCUGGAGCUGAACCGCAUGCGUAACUUUGACCUGACAGCCGUGGCCUGUGCCAACCACAAGAUGCACCUGUACCUGGGCGCCGCCCGUGUGCAGGAGGGUGCCGAGGUCACCGAUUACCGCUUCUUCAUCCGAGCCAUCAUCCGCCACUCUGACCUCAUCACAAAGGAAGCAUCCUUUGAGUACCUGCAGAAUGAGGGCGAGCGUCUUCUCCUGGAGGCCAUGGAUGAGCUGGAGGUAGCCUUCAGCAACAAUAAUGUGCGCACUGACUGCAACCACAUCUUCCUCAACUUUGUCCCCACUGUCAUCAUGGACCCCUCCAAGAUUGAGGAGUCAGUGCACUCCAUGGUGAUGCGUUACGGUAGUAGGCUGUGGAAGCUCCGGGUGCUCCAGGCCGAGUUGAAGAUCAACAUUCGGCUGACGCCCACCGGGACCGCCAUCCCCAUCCACCUGUUCCUCACCAACGAGUCAGGCUACAACCUGGAUAUCAGCCUAUAUAAGGAAGUCACAGACCCCUCAACAGGACAGAUCAUGUUCCAGUCAUACGAGGACAAGCAGGGCCCUCUGCACGGCAUGCUCAUCAACCAUCCCUAUGUCACCAAGGACCUGCUGCAGUAUAAGCGCUUCCAGGCUCAGACCCUGGGCACCACCUACGUCUACGACUUCCCUGAAAUGUUCCGACAGGCCCUCUUUAAGCUGUGGGGUCCGGGUGACAGUUACCCUAAAGAUGUGCUGAUGUGCACUGAGCUGGUGCUGGACCCGCAGGACCGACUGGUGCAGAUCAACCGCCUGCCUGGAGACAACCAGGUGGGAAUGGUAGCCUUCCGGAUGCGGAUGAAGACGCCUGAGUAUCCCGAGAGCCGCGACAUCAUCGUCAUCUGCAACGACAUCACCUAUAUGAUUGGCUCGUUCGGGCCCCAGGAAGACCUGCUGUUCCUGCGGGCAUCUGAGCUGGCCCGGGACGAGGGCAUUCCACGUAUCUACAUCUCAGCCAACAGCGGGGCGCGCAUUGGCCUGGCCGAGGAGAUACGACACAUGUUCCAGGUGGCCUGGAUCGACCCCCAGGACCCUUACAAGGGUUUCAAGUAUCUGUACCUGACGCCCCAGGACUACACCCGCAUCAGCUCCACCAACGCUGUCCACUGCCACCAUGUGGAGGAGGGAGGGGAGUCCAGGUACGUUAUCACUGAUAUCAUAGGGACCGAGGAGGGACUGGGGGUGGAGAACCUGAGGGGAUCAGGCACCAUCGCCGGGGAGACAUCCCAGGCCUACAAUGAGAUCAUCACCAUCAGCAUGGUGACGUGCCGUGCCAUUGGGAUCGGGGCCUAUCUGGUGCGUCUGGGGCAGAGGGUCAUCCAGGUGGAGAACUCCCACAUCAUCCUGACUGGGGCUGGAGCCCUCAACAAGGUCCUGGGCCGAGAGGUGUACACCUCCAACAACCAGCUGGGAGGCAUCCAGAUCAUGCACAACAAUGGCGUGACACACAGCACGGUGCCUGAUGACUUCGAGGGCGUUUUCACGAUCCUGCAGUGGCUCUCCUUUAUGCCAAAGAACAAGCACUCUCCGGUACCGGUGAUCCCACCCAAGGACCCAGUGGAGAGGGAGAUUGAGUUCACCCCCACCAAGGCUCCCUAUGACCCCCGCUGGCUACUGGCCGGGAGGCCCCACCCCACUGCGAAAGGAGCCUGGCAGAGUGGAUUCUGUGACCAUGGCUCCUUCAUGGAGGUGCUGGGAUCUUGGGCCCAGACAGUAGUGGUAGGCAGAGCCAGGUUAGGAGGGAUUCCUAUUGGUGUCAUCGCAGUGGAAACACGCACCGUUGAGGUGGCUAUCCCGGCCGAUCCAGCCAACUUGGACUCUGAGGCCAGAGUGAGUGGCUUAGUGUCCACAUUGUACACUGAGUGUACAGAACAUUAGGAACACCUGCUCUUUCCAUGACAUAGACCGACCAGGUGAAAGCUAUCAUUCCUUAUUGAUGUCACUUGUUAAAUCCACUUCAAUCAGUGUGUAGAUGAAGGGGAGAAGACAGGUUAAAGAAGGAUUUUUAAGCCUUGAGAUAAUUGAGACAUGGAUUGUGUGUGAAAUUCAGAGGGUGAAUGAGCAAGACAAAAGAUUUAAGUGUCUUUGAACGGGGUAUGGUAGUAGGUGCCAGGCGCACCGGUUUGAGUGUGUCAAGAACUGCACCGCUGCUGGGUUUUUAAUGCUCAACCGUUUCCAAUGUGUAUCAAGAAGGGUCCAGAAAGGACACCCUGCCAACACGACACAACUGUGGGAAGCAUUGGCGUCAAUAUGGGUCAGCAUCCCUGUGUAACGCUUUCUACACAUUGUAGUCCAUACCCAGAAUAAUUGAGGCUGUUCUGAGGGCAAAAGGGGGUGCAACUCAAUGUUAGGAAGGUGUUCAAGUUUUAAUGUCACAUGCACAAGUACAGUGAAAUGCCUUUCUUGCAAACUCAAAACCCAACAAUGGAAUAAACAAUAACAAUGUAUUACUAGAAAAAAACACGAGAAAUAAGAAUAGGAAAUAUGUUAUAUACAAUAAAGUAAGUAAGUAAGCACACUAUAUACAGGAAAUAUUUAAUAAAGUCAGUUCCAAUACCAUAUUUACAUGUGCAGGGAUACUGGAGUGAUGGAGGUAGAUAUGUAUAGAGGUAAGGUGACAGGGAUACUGGAGUGAUGGAGGUAGAUGUGUAUAGAGGUAAGGUGACAGGGAUACUGGAGUGAUGGAGGUAGAUGUGUAUAGAGGUAAGGUGACAGGGAUACUGGAGUGAUGGAGGUAGAUAUGUAUAGAGGUAAGGUGACAGGGAUACUGGAGUGAUGGAGGUAGAUAUGUAUAGAGGUAAGGUGACAGGGAUACUGGAGUGAUGGAGGUAGAUAUGUAUAGAGGUAAGGUGACAGGGAUACUGGAGUGAUGGAGGUAGAUGUGUAUAGAGGUAAGGUGACAGGGAUACUGGAGUGAUGGAGGUAGAUAUGUAUAGAGGUAAGGUGACAGGGAUACUGGAGUGAUGGAGGUAGAUAUGUAUAGAGGUAAGGUGACAGGGAUACUGGAGUGAUGGAGGUAGAUAUGUAUAGAGGUAAGGUGACAGGGAUACUGGAGUGAUGGAGGUAGAUAUGUAUAGAGGUAAGGUGACAGGGAUACUGGAGUGAUGGAGGUAGAUAUGUAUAGAGGUAAGGUGACAGGGAUACUGGAGUGAUGGAGGUAGAUAUGUAUAGAGGUAAGGUGACAGGGAUACUGGAGUGAUGGAGGUAGAUAUGUAUAGAGGUAAGGUGACAGGGAUACUGGAGUGAUGGAGGUAGAUGUGUAUAGAGGUAAGGUGACAGGGAUACUGGAGUGAUGGAGGUAGAUAUGUAUAGAGGUAAGGUGACAGGGAUACUGGAGUGAUGGAGGUAGAUAUGUAUAGAGGUAAGGUGACAGGGAUACUGGAGUGAUGGAGGUAGAUAUGUAUAGAGGUAAGGUGACAGGGAUACUGGAGUGAUGGAGGUAGAUAUGUUUAGGGGUAAGGUGACAGGGAUACUGGAGUGAUGGAGGUAGAUAUGUAUAGAGGUAAGGUGACAUGGAUACUGGAGUGAUGGAGGUAGAUAUGUAUAGAGGUAAGGUGACAGGGAUACUGGAGUGAUGGAGGUAGAUAUGUUUAGGGGUAAGGUGACAGGGAUACUGGAGUGAUGGAGGUAGAUAUGUAUAGAGGUAAGGUGACAGGGAUACUGGAGUGAUGGAGGUAGAUGUGUAUAGAGGUAAGGUGACAGGGAUACUGGAGUGAUGGAGGUAGAUAUGUAUAGAGGUACGGUGACAGGGAUACUGGAGUGAUGGAGGUAGAUAUGUAUAGAGGUAAGGUGACAGGGAUACUGGAGUGAUGGAGGUAGAUGUGUAUAGAGGUAAGGUGACAGGGAUACUGGAGUGAUGGAGGUAGAUAUGUUUAGAGGUAAGGUGACAGGGAUACUGGAGUGAUGGAGGUAGAUAUGUAUAGAGGUAAGGUGACAGGGAUUUUGGAGUGAUGGAGGUAGAUAUGUAUAGAGGUAAGGUGACAGGGAUACUGGAGUGAUGGAGGUAGAUAUGUAUAGAGGUAAGGUGACAGGGAUACUGGAGUGAUGGAGGUAGAUAUGUUUAGGGGUAAGGUGACAGGGAUACUGGAGUGAUGGAGGUAGAUAUGUAUAGAGGUAAGGUGACAGGGAUACUGGAGUGAUGGAGGUAGAUAUGUAUAGAGGUAAGGUGACAGGGAUACUGGAGUGAUGGAGGUAGAUAUGUUUAGAGGUAAGGUGACAGGGAUACUGGAGUGAUGGAGGUAGAUAUGUUUAGGGGUAAGGUGACAGGGAUACUGGAGUGAUGGAGGUAGAUAUGUAUAGAGGUAAGGUGACAGGGAUACUGGAGUGAUGGAGGUAGAUGUGUAUAGAGGUAAGGUGACAGGGAUACUGGAGUGAUGGAGGUAGAUAUGUAUAGAGGUAAGGUGACAGGGAUAUUGGAGUGAUGGAGGUAGAUAUGUAUAGAGGUAAGGUGACAGGGAUACUGGAGUGAUGGAGGUAGAUAUGUAUAGAGGUAAGGUGACAGGGAUACUGGAGUGAUGGAGGUAGAUAUGUAUAGAGGUAAGGUGACAGGGAUAUUGGAGUGAUGGAGGUAGAUAUGUAUAGAGGUAAGGUGACAGGGAUACUGGAGUGAUGGAGGUAGAUAUGUAUAGAGGUAAGGUGACAGGGAUAUUGGAGUGAUGGAGGUAGAUAUGUAUAGAGGUAAGGUGACAGGGAUACUGGAGUGAUGGAGGUAGAUAUGUAUAGAGGUAAGGUGACAGGGAUACUGGAGUGAUGGAGGUAGAUAUGUUUAGGGGUAAGGUGACAGGGAUACUGGAGUGAUGGAGGUAGAUAUGUUUAGGGGUAAGGUGACAGGGAUACUGGAGUGAUGGAGGUAGAUAUGUUUAGGGGUAAGGUGACAGGGAUACUGGAGUGAUGGAGGUAGAUAUGUUUAGGGGUAAGGUGACAGGGAUACUGGAGUGAUGGAGGUAGAUAUGUUUAGGGGUAAGGUGCCAGGGAUACUGGAGUGAUGGAGGUAGAUAUGUAUAGGUGUAAGGUGACUAGGCAAGAGGAUAGAAGAUAAACAGAGUAGCAGCAGCUUGUAUGUGAGUGGGUGUCCGAGUGUUUAGAGGCUCUGUGAGUGUGCACAGAGACAUAGCAAAGAUUGAGUUAAAGGAUCAAUAAAGCUACAUUUUUAUCAGUCAUAUUGCUUGGGGAUAGAAGCUGUUGAAGAGCCUGUUGGUGUCAGACGUGGUAGACCGGUACCGCUUUUCAUGCGGCAGCAGAGAAAAUUGUCUAUGGCUUGGGUGGUUGGAGGUCUAUAUAUAGAGGUCCUGGAUGGCAGGGAGCUCAGCCUCAGUGAUGUACUGUCCGCACAACCCUCUGUUUUGUACACCUAGUGUAUGUUGUGUCCUUUAAUGAUUACGUAAUGGACCUGCUUGUGUCAUAUGCCAAGGGGACCUGUUUGUAAGCCGUCAUUAAUAAAGUUUUGAUGCCUUCGAUCAUUUAGAAAAUAAAUACAUGAUCUGACAAGGUAACACAGACUGAAAUGCCAGCUACACCAGAGUGUAAUAUCCCUCUCUGUGCGUUCCUCUCAGCUGGUGCAACAGGCUGGCCAGGUGUGGUUCCCGGACUCAGCCUUUAAGACGGCCCAGGCCAUCCGUGACUUCAACCGCGAGCG